UCUCUUCCAGAAAGAAUCCUGACCUUGCCUGUCUUCUAGGUGACCAGUACAUCUACAGUACUCAGCAUGUCUGGAAAAGAAUAAUUUUCUGAAGAGUGAGGAUGCAAUCAUAUCUGAACAACAAACUCUCAGUUGUGGGACCAACAUAGCACGGAAACAGCCUCCAGGUGUUAGCUUUGUUUUCCCGCCAUGCCCACAUGCAAGUGCUGCAGUGACAACACCGGAUCCUUGACCUCCUGCACCACAAGGAUAUCUAACAUGGAACCCAUUAUUCUGGGCAGCACACACCUCCCUCUCGCAGCACCCAGAUGCGGCAGGCAGAAGAGCUGCUGCAGGACACACCUCCAGAGGGCACCACUUACCCGUUUUAUGGUGUGAAUGAACCCUGGGAUGUAACCUGAGCUCCAUGCCCUACCUCCUCUGCAUAUGCCACCUACCUGCACACUUAGACCUCCCAGGCCUCAGAGAAGGCUCUGGUGGAACCUCUUGGGUACCACCUACCACAAAGCAUCCACGUUAGGCAAUCUUUGCCACCCCUUUCUCUUCUCCAGCCUAUCCAUGGCUUCCUUCAGCUCCCAGAGCUGGUCCAGUCCCCCAGCCAUCCAGGUCAUCUGAUGCUAAGCAGCAGGAUCCUUUGAAGGGGCUAUGGGUAUAGCCUCAGGCCCCAGAGCCCCAGGGGAUCCCUUUCAGGGCCACACUGAUCCUGGCACUGCCACUGUCCCUGGCUCAGCUACAGAAGGAGGGACACUGCAGGCACUUACCCUCUGCUGUAGAAGAGCAGGAACACCCAGCCCUGAUCAGCCAGCUUCCUUUUUCAGGUCUUGGUUUAUUCUUGGUUGGCGUUUCCUGUGUCUGAGACAGCGAGAAGAGGAAUGGAGGGCGGGAGGGAACAUAUUUUUAAGACUUAAGAAGAGAAAAGAGGCAGUACCAA
rnacentral:lncRNA from 9 species